rnacentral:misc_RNA from 1 species
UCCGGUUUGUCACCGGCGGUCUCCUUAGAGUUCCCACCAUUACGUGCUGGCAACUAAGGACAAGGGUUGCGCUCGUUGCGGGACUUAACCCAACAUCUCACGACACGAGCUGACGACGGCCAUGCACCACCUGUGCACCGGCCCCGAAAGGCUGCCGUAUUUCUACGGCAUUCCAGUGCAUGUCAAGCCUUGGUAAGGUUCUUCGCGUUGCGUCGAAUUAAACCACAUGCUCCACCGCUUGUGCGGGCCCCCGUCAAUUCCUUUGAGUUUCAGCCUUGCGGCCGUACUCCCCAGGCGGGGCACUUAAUGCGUUAGCUUCGGUACCAAGGAAUCGCUUCCCCAACACCCAGUCGACAUCGUUUAGGGCGUGGACUAC